AACUAGAGUACUUCCGAAAGUCGUCUGCUCAAACGAGAUCGAAAAUGGGAAAAUUUGCCAGAAAAGUUCAAGAAAAGUCAGACAAAUACAUUCCAAUCGUUCUAAAUAGUUUGACUAUAAUAUUUUGCAUGUGUACAUUCAUACCUAUAGGAUCCGUUAAAAACUAUUUUCAUGGAGAAUGUGUGCUUUAUGCCCAGCCGGUUCUGACUGCUGUAACACGACCAAAUAAUUUGACUACAAUAACAGUUGACUUGAAGUCAUCAGUUUGGGGUGAACUAAGUACCUGUUACUAUGUUAUAUACACGCCUGUUGUGGUCGGAAUCUACACCUUUAUCUGGCUUUGGUUCCAUAUUCAGUUGAGAAUGUCGAUAUUUGAUGAAGGGUAAGUCCAGUUGGUAACCGGCACUUAGAUUAGUCGACAUUCCCAUGAAGUGCCGAAGUGUCUGUGAUGAUGACUAAGAAAUAUACAGUG
rnacentral:lncRNA from 1 species